rnacentral:rRNA from 1 species
GGUUGGCUUAGAAGCAGCCAUCCUUUAAAGAAAGCGUAACAGCUCACUGGUCUAGUGAUUCUGCGCGGAAAAUAUAACGGGGCUAAGAUGUGCACCGAAGCUUUAGAUUCGAAUUUAUUCGAGUGGUAGGAGAGCGUUCUAUUCAGCGUUGAAGAUGUACCGGUAAGGAGCGUUGGAGCGGAUAGAAGUGAGCAUGCAGGCAUGAGUAGCGAUAAUUGAGGUGAGAAUCCUCAACGCCGAAAACCCAAGGUUUCCUACGCGAUGCUCGUCAUCGUAGGGUUAGUCGGGUCCUAAGUCGAGUCCGAAAGGGGUAGACGAUGGCAAAUUGAUUAAUAUUUCAAUACCAACAUACAAGCGCGAUGUGGGGACGCAUAGAGUUAAUCGAGCUCACUGAUGGAAUAGUGGGUCGAAGGACGUAGGCUGUAACUUAGGCAAAUCCGGGUUGCAAUAGGCCGAGAUCUUACAGGCUCUUGACACUCUUCGGAGGAGAUGGAGAAUCGAUGAUACUGUCGUGCCAAGAAAAGCCACUAAGUAUAUUGUAUGUUGCCCGUACCGUAAACCGACACAGGUGGGUGGGAUGAGUAUUCUAAGGCGCGUGGAAGAACCCUGGUUAAGGAACUCUGCAAACUAGCACCGUAUCUUCGGUAUAAGGUGUGCCUACUUUGGUAUAUGGACUUGCUCCAAAAAGCUAGAGAGGUUGCAACAAAGAGUCCCUCCCGACUGUUUACCAAAAACACAGCACUUUGCUAACACGUAAGUGGAUGUAUAAGGUGUGACGCCUGCCCGGUGCUCGAAGGUUAAUUGAUGAUGUCAGCGCAAGCGAAGCAUUUGAUCGAAGCCCGAGUAAACGGCGGCCGUAACUAUAACGGUCCUAAGGUAGCGAAAUUCCUUGUCGGUUAAAUACCGACCUGCAUGAAUGGCGUAACGAGAUGGGAGCUGUCUCAACCAGGGAUCCAGUGAAAUUGUAGUGGAGGUGAAAAUUCCUCCUACCCGCGGAAAGACGGAAAGACCCCGUGCACCUUUACUACAGCUUGACACUGUAGCUUGGAUAUUCAUGUGCAGGAUAGGUGGGAGGCUAUGAUGACUAGACGCAAGUAGAGUCGGAGCCAUCCUUGAGAUACCACCCUUGAAUAUUUGAGUUACUAACUGCGUACAAUUAUCUUGUAUCAGGACAAUGUCUGGUGGGUAGUUUGACUGGGGCGGUCGCCUCCUAAAAAGUAACGGAGGCUUACAAAGGUUAGUUCAUGGCGGAUGGAAAUCGCCAGUUGAGUAUAAUGGCAUAAACUAGCUUGACUGUGAGACAUACAAGUCGAACAGAGACGAAAGUCGGUCAUAGUGAUCCGGUGGUUCUGUGUGGAAGGGCCAUCGCUCAAAGGAUAAAAGGUACGCCGGGGAUAACAGGCUGAUC